rnacentral:rRNA from 1 species
CCCGGGAAACUGGGGAUAAUUCCGGAUAACGCACAUAUGCUGGAAUGCUUUAUGCGUAAAAUGGAUUCGUCUGCCCAAGGAUGGGUCUGCGGCCUAUCAGGUAGUAGUGGGUGUAAUGUACCUACUAGCCUACAACGGGUACGGGUUGUGAGAGCAAGAGCCCGGAGAUGGAUUCUGAGACAUGAAUCCAGGCCCUACGGGGCGCAGCAGGCGCGAAAACUUUACAAUGCGGGAAACCGUGAUAAGGGGACACCGAGUGCCAGCAUCAUAUGCUGGCUGUCCAGGUGUGUAAAAUACACCUGUUAGCAAGGGCCGGGCAAGACCGGUGCCAGCCGCCGCGGUAACACCGGCGGCCCGAGUGGUGAUCGUGAUUAUUGGGUCUAAAGGGUCUGUAGCCGGCCGACUAAGUCUCUUGGGAAAUCUGGCAGCUCAACUGUCAGGCUUUCAGGGGAUACUGGUCGGCUCGAGACCGGGAGAGGUGAGAGGUACUUCAGGGGUAGGGGUGAAAUCUUGUAAUCCUUGAAGGACCACCAGUGGCGAAGGCGUCUCACCAGAACGGGUCUGACGGCAAGGGACGAAAGCUAGGGGCACGAACCGGAUUAGAUACCCGGGUAGUCCUAGCCGUAAACGAUGCUCGCUAGGUGUCAGGCAUGGCGCGACCGUGUCUGGUGCCGCAGGGAAGCCGUGAAGCGAGCCACCUGGGAAGU